UACGGAGGGAGCUAGCGUUAUUCGGAAUUACUGGGCGUAAAGCGCACGUAGGCGGCUUUGUAAGUAAGAGGUGAAAGCCUGGUGCUCAACACCAGAACUGCCUUUUAGACUGCAUCGCUUGAAUCAUGGAGAGGUGAGUGGAAUUCCGAGUGUAGAGGUGAAAUUCGUAGAUAUUCGGAAGAACACCAGUGGCGAAGGCGGCUCACUGGACAUGUAUUGACGCUGAGGUGCGAAAGCGUGGGGAGCAAACGGG
rnacentral:rRNA from 1 species